UGCAGUCGAACGGGAUCCCGGGGGUUCGCCUCCGGGUGAGAGUGGCGAACGGGUGAGUAAUGCGUGACCGACCUGCCCCAUACACCGGAAUAGCUCCUGGAAACGGGUGGUAAUGCCGGAUGCUCCGGUUGGAUGCAUGUCCUUCCGGGAAAGGUUCCAUCGGUAUGGGAUGGGGUCGCGUCCUAUCAGCUUGAUGGCGGGGUAACGGCCCACCAUGGCUUCGACGGGUAGCCGGCCUGAGAGGGCGACCGGCCACAUUGGGACUGAGAUACGGCCCAGACUCCUACGGGAGGCAGCAGUGGGGAAUAUUGCACAAUGGGCGCAAGCCUGAUGCAGCGACGCCGCGUGCGGGAUGGAGGCCUUCGGGUUGUAAACCGCUUUUGAUCGGGAGCAAGCCCUUCGGGGUGAGUGUACCCUUCGAAUAAGCACCGGCUAACUACGUGCCAGCAGCCGCGGUAAUACGUAGGGUGCAAGCGUUAUCCGGAAUUAUUGGGCGUAAAGGGCUCGUAGGCGGUUCGUCGCGUCCGGUGUGAAAGCCCAUCGCUUAACGGUGGGUCUGCGCCGGGUACGGGCGGGCUGGAGUGCGGUAGGGGAGACUGGAAUUCCCGGUGUAACGGUGGAAUGUGUAGAUAUCGGGAAGAACACCAAUGGCGAAGGCAGGUCUCUGG
rnacentral:rRNA from 1 species